rnacentral:rRNA from 1 species
UACGAAGGGGGCUAGCGUUGUUCGGAUUUACUGGGCGUAAAGCGCACGUAGGCGGAUCUUUAAGUCAGAGGUGAAAUCCCAAGGCUCAACCUUGGAACUGCCUUUGAUACUGGGGAUCUUGAGUCCGGGAGAGGUGAGUGGAACUGCGAGUGUAGAGGUGAAAUUCGUAGAUAUCCGCAAGAACACCAGUGGCGAAGGCGGCUCACUGGCCCGAUACUGACGCUGAGGCACGAAAGCGUGGGGAGCAAACAGG